CACAGUAGUUGAAAUGUUGUUGCAGCCAUGCCUGUUAAGUCCUCGGUGAGCCUCGUCAAGCGCUCGUUGGAAGUUUUAGUGAAACAAUAUUUAUGAAGACAUCCUAACAUCUUAUGCUUGUGU